rnacentral:rRNA from 1 species
GAUGAACGCUAGCGACGUGCCUAAGAAAUGCAAGUCGAGCGAUGAUGGUUACUUCGGUAAUCUGAUUAGCGGCGAACGGUCGCGUAACACGUAAGCAAUCUGCCCUAAAGUUUGGGAUAGCCCGGCGAAAGUCGGAUUAAUACCGGAUGUGGAUAUUUUAACACCUGUUGAUUUAUCUAAAGUGGAAACACGCUUUAGGAUGAGCUUGCGGCCUAUCAGCUUGAUGGUGGGGUAAUGGCCUACCAUGGCGACGACGGGUAGCUGGUCUGAGAGGAUGAUCAGCCGGACUGGGACUGAGAUACGGCCCAGACUCCUACGGGGGGCAGCAAUUAGGAAUCUUGCGCAAUGGGCGAAAGCCUGACGCAGCGACGUCGCGUGACCGAUGAAGUCUUUCGGGAUGUAAAGGUCUUUUGUCGAGGAAGAGUAAAAGACGGUACUCGAUGAAUAAGCCCCGGCUAACUACGUG